CAGCAGCCGCGGUAAUACGUAGGUCCCGAGCGUUGUCCGGAUUUAUUGGGCGUAAAGCGAGCGCAGGCGGUUAGAUAAGUCUGAAGUUAAAGGCUGUGGCUUAACCAUAGUACGCUUUGGAAACUGUUUAGCUUGAGUGCAAGAGGGGAGAGUGGAAUUCCAUGUGUAGCGGUGAAAUGCGUAGAUAUAUGGAGGAACACCGGUGGCGAAAGCGGCUCUCUGGCUUGUAACUGACGCUGAGGCUCGAAAGCGUGGGGAGCAAACAGGAUUAGAUACCCCUGUAGUCCCUGUCUCUUAUACC
rnacentral:rRNA from 1 species